GACGAAGGGGGCUAGCGUUGUUCGGAAUUACUGGGCGUAAAGCGCGUGUAGGUGGUUGUCCAAGUUGGAUGUGAAAGCCUUGAGCUCAACUCAAGAAAUGCAUUCAGGACUGGGCGGCUAGAGGACCGGAGAGGAUAGUGGAAUUCCCAGUGUAGUGGUGAAAUACGUAGAGAUUGGGAAGAGCACCAGUGGCGAAGGCGGCUAUCUGGACGGUUUCUGACACUAAGACUCGAAAGCGUGGGGAGCAAACAGG
rnacentral:rRNA from 1 species